AAUUCAGGUCAUUGUCUUGUGCAUUUCCUUUUUGGUAUGGAUCAUGGGAAUCUGCAGUUGCAUCAUCUCCAUCCAUUUGGCUUGCUGCGUACAGGUAUUAAUCAUCUUUCUAUCCUUUGUUGUGAUGUUAGGUUGAUGUUCUCUUAGAUUAUUUUGUUUGAUUGUAAUUAGCUUAUUUUGUUGGCUUUUCCAAUCGUGUAGUACUUUUCUUCUAUUUCUUUCUAAUUUGUCUCUAGGCUUCAAUGAUGUUUAUGUUCGUACAUUGUUACCAUUUUAAUACAUUUCCCUUCUUAAUUUA
rnacentral:lncRNA from 1 species